UCUGCCGCCCCGCGUGAAGGUGCCGCUCCCGCAAGGGACGGUGAAAAGGGAAGCCGGUUCAAUGCCGGCGCUGUACCCGCAACUGUGCGCGGCGAGCCCUGCUCCAGGGCCACUGGUUCUUCCGGGAACCGGGAAGGCGGAGCAAGGGCGCUGAACCGCAAGCCAGGAGACCUGCCUUCGCGGUCGUCCGUGC
rnacentral:ncRNA from 2 species